rnacentral:lncRNA from 1 species
CUGGUCUCGAAAUCCUGACCUUGUGAUCCACCCACCUCGUCCUCCCAAAGUGCCAGGAUUGCAUGCGUGAGCCACCGCACCUGGCCAAGCUCUUUCUUAAAGAUGAUCAAGGCAUCCCCCAUUUAAGCCUCCUCAGGGGCUCCCCUGAUCUAUAAGGACUGAGUGCCAGCUCCUCUGCUGCGUGCCACACGAGGCCCUUCUGUGGCCUCUCUCCUCUUAGGCCUGUACCUUUCCCAUCUCCUCCCAUGUGCACCUCCUGUCCAGCCUCCCUCUCACUGCGUUAUGUCUGCAGUGCCUUCACACAAGCUGUUUCUUUUGCCUGGAAUGACGCUUCUUCCUCCGUUGAAUUAAUCCACCCCGUAUUGCUUCAAUAUUCAGCUCAAUCAGGCCCCUCUUGGGAGCCUUCAUUAACUGUUGGGCCAGCAGUGAGCUAUAGACGCACUUUCCCUGCUCCAUGGCUGUGCUCAUAUCACAGUGGGCUCUUACCAUGAACUUCCUAUCAACCUCUUGCACUGGACCUCAGACACUCUGAGGACAGAGCCCCAGUGUGAUUCAGCUCCAUACCCCUAUAUCCACAUGACUCAGCUCCGUACCCCUAUAUCCACGACUCAGCUCCAUAUCCCUAUAUCCACAACUCAGCUCCGUACCCCUAUAUUCACAUGACUCAGCUCCGUACCCCUAUAUCCACGACUCAGCUCCGUACCCCUAUAUCCACAUGACUCAGCGCCGUACCCCUGUAUCCACGACUCGGCUCCAUACCCCGAUAUCCACGACUCGGCUCUGUGCCCCUAUAUCCACAACUCAGCGCUGUACCCCUACAUUCACGCAACUCAGCUCCGUACCCCUAUAAUCCACUUUACUCAGUGCCGUACCCCUAUAAUCCACAUUACUCAGCGCUGUACCCCUAUAUCUACAUGACUCAGAGCCUUACCCCAUAUCCAUGUGACUCAGCUCCUCACCCCUAUAUCCACGUGACUCAGCAC